rnacentral:rRNA from 1 species
GACAGAGGUUGCAAACGUUGUUCGGAAUUACUGGGCAUAAAGCGCACGUAGGCGGUUCGUUAAGUCAUGUGUGAAAUCCCUCGGCUCAACCGAGGAAUUGCGCCUGAUACUGGCGAGCUAGAGAUCGAUGAGGGUGAGUGGAACUCCAGGUGGAGCGGUGAAAUGCGUAGAUAUCUGGAGGAACACCGGUGGCGAAAGCGGCUCACUGGAUCGAUACUGACGCUGAGGUGCGAAAGCUAGGGUAGCAAACGGG